CUACCUUUUAAGAUGUUAGGACUCAUUUUGUAGAGCUACAUAUCUCCUAGCAAUCCACAUAGGAUUCAUUUUGGACUCAUUUUGGUUUCAUAUAUUUUGGAUGUAUUGAUCACUAUUUGCAUUCUCUAUCUUUGUAACUAUAUUUUAGAUAUCAAUGAAUGAAAGUUGAUAUUUUUAUAAAAAAUCUAGUGUGCUAUGAUUAUGGUUGAUUGCGCAAUUAUGCUUAUAAAUUUGAAAAUUCAUGAGUAUAUGCUUUAUCUUUAAAACAAAAGCGGAAGAAAAAUGUAAAUCUUAAAUAUGCACAAUUUGAAAGAGAAAGG
rnacentral:lncRNA from 1 species